GACAUUUUGGACUGCCUUGCAAAAGAUGACACGAAUGAAAGGAGAAGGGUUGCUGCUCUGCUUGGUUUGCCACGCUACAUAUCUGGGGAAGAUCCAUCAACUGUCAUCAGGAUGUGUGAUGCUCAUGCUGAUAUUCUGGAUGAUGCCAUGAAGGGGAUGCAGGUUGGUCUCCUGAUUGCCUGUGAAGGUAGUGAACUGGGGGCCAUCCCACACGAGGUCUUCGACGUGGCAGUUGUGGUGGAGGAGACCAUUGUGCUUCACAACAUUAAAGAUGUGACACUUGGCUUUGCUAUGCUUAUGGGUG